CUGUUGUCUAAGACCACAAUUCAACUACGAGCGUUUUAACCGCAGCAACUUUAAUAUACGCUAUUGGAGCUGGAAUUGUGGUCUUAGACAACAUCCCCCUACAUAGGUGUGGCACGGUUGCUCGAGAUCUUCAUUCGUGGUUGCUGUUGUUGCUCUUCAUUGAGUGUCAAUGGUGCCUCGAGAUUUUACUUUGAAAAAAUUAGAGUGCUCAAAGCAGGUUGUGAUGCCUGAAUAAUGGUGCAUGGAAUAAUAGAAUACGAUCUCGGUUCUAUUUUGUUGGUUUUCGAACCGGAGAUAAUGAUUGAAAGGAACAGACGGGGGCAUUCGUAUUGCUGCGUUAGAGGUGAAAUUCUUGGAUCGCAGCAAGAUGAACAAUUGCGAAAGCAUUUGCCAAGAAUGUUUUCAUUAAUCAAGAACGAAAGUUAGAGGUUCGAAGGCGAUCAGAUACCGCCCUAGUUCUAACGGUAAACUAUGCCAACCAGCGAUUCGCCGAAGUUCAUUUAAGACUCGGCGAGCAGCUUCCGGGAAACCAAAGUGUUUCGGUUCCGGGGGAAGUAUGGUUGCAAAGCUGAAACUUAAAGGAAUUGACGGAAGGGCACCACCAGGAGUGGAGCCUGCGGCUUAAUUUGACCCAACACGGGAAAACUCACCCGGCCCGGACACUGGAAGGAUUGACAGAUUGACAGCUCUUUCUUGAUUCAGUGGGUAGUGGUGCAUGGCCGUUCUUAGUUGGUGGAGCGAUUUGUCUGGUUAAUUCCGAUAACGAACGAGACUCUACCCUAUUAAAUAGUGACAGUAUUGUAUUUUUUGUGCUGAUCACUUCUUAGAGGGACUGGCAAAUUGAAAGCUGCACGAAAAAGAGCAAUAACAGGUCUGUGAUGCCCUUCGAUGUCCGGGGCUGCACGCGCGCUACAAUGAAAGCGUCAACGUGAGUUACGUCCUUACCUGAAAAGGUUUGGCAAUCGAAUGAAACGUUUUCUUGAAUGGAAUAGGGAAUUGCAAUUGUUUCCCUUGAACGAGGAAUUCCCAGUAAGCGUGAGUCAUUAGCUCGCGUUGAUUACGUCCCUGCCCUUUGUACACACCGCCCGUCGCUACUACCGAUUGGAUGAUUUAGUGAGGUGUUUUGACUGGCGCCAGUAGUCGGAUGUAUUCGGCUUCGCGCCGGGAAAUUUCCCAAACCAAAUCAUCUAGAGGAAGUAAAAGUCGUAACAAGGUUUCCGUAGGUGAACCUGCGGAAG
rnacentral:rRNA from 1 species